CCUUUCACGGUACCAUGUUCUUCAUUAAUAAUCAGGUAUCCAACUCAGAANNNNNNNNNNNNNNNNNNNNUUCACAUCUAUGCUUUCUUGAUUGACUUUGCUCAAACUUCCUAUGGCUUCUUGUGAAAUUUCCGACAAAAAUGUGUUGAUUUAUGUGUCCAAUCAGAUUUGAAUUGUUCUCAGGAUUUUCGUGGGACAACGACCGAAUUGACGUGUUCCUGACAUAAUUGAUAAGCUAACUUUGAUGUAUAGCGAAUGUCUUAUUACUGAUCCACUUAAUUGUUGGUUUUCAUUUAAAAGUUUCCCGUUUUGCCUAACGGCCCAUUAGGUAUUCAUAGGAUCCCCAAUGCUUGCGGUAGUUAGCUUCAACAGACAAUUUUAUGUAAAGUUGGCUUAGCAUUCAUUUGAUGAAAUUUCUAUAUCCACAGCUUUAUCAUGAAAGCAUGAUAUAAUUGUAAAAUAUAUUGAACUCACUGCACAUUUCCUCUGGUUUUUUCUUAUCGAAAUACUCCAAUGAGAGUCUUCUCUUCUGAUCUCAUGUCUGCAGCAGACAAUUUUAUGUUCCUUAUCUUUUUCCAUCUUAUUAUCUGCCUUUCUGUUGUCAUUCAGUAUAGGCCUUACUGUUUGUGUUAAUGCAAGGUUUUGAUAAUUAGCAUUUCGAGAGGAAUACUCUGUUGGCAACCGUCAUGAAAUAGCCUUUGGUAAAGAUUUAUCCAUCUUAUCAUUCAGAAAGAAUCCCUCGUACAAAGUCAAUUGUAUCCAUCCAUCCAUCUAUUCCACAGUUGUUUCACAUUUGCCACUCUUAACUAGUCAUGCUCUUUUCAUUCUCCACCACGCUUCCACUCAGGGAAGCUGCCUUCAGUCUGCAUUUUGAGUGAUUACGCUUUCUGAAUUACCCUCUCAUUGAUCCUCCAAUGGUGGUACAUGAACAGAGGCUGUUCGGUUUUAUUAUUUCUAUAUUCGCUGCCUUCUUUUCUUUCGCUUUUUUUUCUUUUACUAUGUUUGUAUUUAUUAGUACCAUCUCUCUUAGAUUCCUUUUUGGUUUGAAAACAUUUUCGUUCUUUAGUUUACAUUACGCGAGUGACACGCUACGCAUAAGUUUGUUAUGAUGUUUUCGAGUGGUCUAAGUAUAAGCAUUAAACUAAAUCACUCUGCAAUCAGGUACCAUGUUGAGUGAUUGAAGAAAUUUUGGUCCCGUGUUAAUUAUUUAAUAUCUUCUUAAAAUGGUGCUUGUGUCUGAGUUAUGACACAGGUUAAUGCCUAAUUUGGUGGGAAGCUUUUGUGGUAACUUAUACAGGAUUCACUGGCAGAUUAAUAUAUUUUCAUGGUUCAGCAGACAUAUUCUCCCAGAAACGUAUAACUAGAGCACAACGUGGGCAUGCUUUCACAUGGUUGGAGUUGGCCUACCUCUGAAGCUACGAACCGUGCGAACUUCUUCCCUCUCCAGGGCUUGCAGAAGCUUCUGGUCAAAGGGGAUGGCCCUCCCUUGCUUUUACAACGCUGCCAUGCCCACCUUUUUAUAGGGAAGAGUCGUCAGUACACAUCUCUUAAGUUUCAAAAACCAGUUGUAACUAGUUUGAGGGGACAUGAUUUCUUUGUGGGUCCGACCGUUGUGCAACAAAUGCCCAUUUGAUGCUGUAUAAGUGCUGUUGUGCCUACUGCUGAACAAGCUGGUGAUGUCACUAUUUAGAAUGUUGGGUUCAAGUAAACCAGAUAAGGUUGCAUGUUGCUUGCUUGUUAAUCUAGAAGGGAGGAUACCCCUUCAAGUAGAAAGUUGAGGCUAUGUGAAGAUCUGGUAAAUCUAGGGGAGAAACAUGCAAGGGCUUAGCCGCAAGAUGAUGACGUAUGGAACUAUUACAAUAAAAUCUUUUUGAUUAAUU
rnacentral:lncRNA from 1 species